rnacentral:lncRNA from 1 species
GGAAUGCCUUCCUUGUCCUGGAUCUUGGCCUUCACGUUUUCUAUCGUAUCACUCGGCUCGACCUCAAGUGUGAUUGUCUUGCCAGUGAGCGUUUUCACAAAUAUUUGCAUACCUCCACGGAGUCGCAGAACAAGGUGAAGGGUGGACUCUUUCUGAAUGUUGUAGUCCGAGAGUGUGCGGCCAUCUUCGAGCUGCUUGCCGGCGAAGAUUAGACGCUGCUGGUCAGGCGGGAUUCCCUCCUUAUCCUGAAUUUUUGCCUUGACAUUUUCAAUGGUGUCGCUCGGUUCAACUUCGAGCGUGAUGGUCUUUCCGGUGAGCGUCUUCACGAAGAUCU